rnacentral:lncRNA from 1 species
UUGUAGUAUUUCUUGAAGUCUGGGAGAGUUAUGCCUCCUGCUUGGUUUUUGUUUCUCAGGAUUGCUUUGGCGAUUCUGGGUCUUUUGUGGUUCCAUAUAAAUGUUUGGAUUGUUUGUUCUAGUUCUGUGAAAAAUGUCAUGGGUAAUUUGAUAGGGAUUGCAUUGAAUCUGUAGAUUGCUUUGGGUAGUAUGGCCAUUUUUACAAUAUUGAUUUUCCCAAUCCAGGAACAUGGAAUAUCUUUCCAUUUCUUUACAUCUUCUUUGAUUUCUUUGAUUAAAGUUUUAUAGUUCUCGGCAUAUAGGUCCUUUACCUCCUUGGUCAGGUGUAUUCCGAGGUAUUUGAUUUUGUGAGGUGCAAUUUUAAAAGGUAUCGUAUUUUUGUAUUCCUUUUCUAAUAUUUCAUUGCUGGUAUACAGAAAUGCAACUGACUUCUGAAUGUUAAUCUUAUAUCCUGCUACUUUGCUGAAUUUAUUAAUCAGUUCAAGUAGUUUUGGGGUUGAGUCCUUAGGGUUUUCUAUGUAUAGUAUCAUGUCAUCUGCAUACAGUAAAGUUUUAAUUUUUAAUUAACCUAAUUAGUCAGAAUUUCCCCAUAUAUUAUCAGUCCUUUUCCUAAAUAAUCUGCUUUCUCAAGAUUGUAAAGAUACCUUCUGUGUUUUUUUUUUCCUUUUUUCUUUUAAUUUAUUUAUUUAUUUAGGGGCCUCACCCACAGUGCAUGGAAAUUCCUAGGCCAGGGAUCCAACUGUCACUAUAACAGUGACUUGAGCUGCAGAAGGGACAGUGCCAGACCCUUAACCCACUGAGCCACCAGGGAACUCCCUUGUGUUUUCUUUUAGAAAGCCUUACAGUUUCAGCUUUUAUGCUCUGGUCCGUGAUCCAUCUCAGAUUAAUUUUUGUCUAUUGGGUAAUUUAGAGGUUAAAACUCAUUUUUUUCUUUUUUUGCACAUGUUUUCCCAGUUGUCCCAGCAUAAUUUGUUGAAAAGAUUUUUCCUUCGUCAUUGAAUUGCUUUGGCACCUUUAUCGAAAAUCAGUUAACCACAUAUGUAUGGGUCUAUCUCAAGGGAACCCUAAAGAAUGUAUGGACCACAUGGGUCAUGCACUUAAGUCUGGAAAUAACACUUCACACUGGUCAACCUUAAUAAGCCUCAAGUGACUGGCGGUCUUGAACUUACAUAUCAUGAAACAUUUGUGUCAAAAGUCACUAACAAACUCUGUGGGGACUGUUUUUUGCUUGUUUUAUAAAGCUAACCUAGCUGAGGCCUCUAGUAGUUUCAGAAUUCCCACAUUAAAUGUCAGGUUCUUAUCUCCACAGAAACGUACCAUCAGAUUUGUGUGAUCUGACCUCAGCCUGCAGGCAGCUUCAAAGAGAACUGUAUUUCAACUUAGGUUUUCUUAUUUGGAAACUUGGAUACGCAUGGAUUCAAAAUGACUGAUUUGGAACUCAUUAUAAUUAAGCGUGGGCUCCACCAAAAAAAUACUACUCUUAAUAUUUUUUUGUAAUGUAAAGAAACUUGUGAAGAAAACUUGUUUUACUAACUUGCAUGUAUUGUAUGCAGAAAUAGGUUUACUGCCUUUAAAAGCAAGUUUUGUCUAUGAAUAGAAUCUCAACUUGGAAAGUUUUUUGUAAACAGUUUUACUUAGCAUUUUUACUUGAAUAUAACUAAGAAUCAUCUUCUUUUAAGAGUCCUUGAUUUGAAAACCGAAGGAGGAAUAGCGUGAGAAAAAACACCAAGAUUAUUCUGUUAGAGGGAUAGAAUAAAAGGCAAUUGCCUCUCUUUGACAUCCUAAACUUCUGAGUUUUAGAAUUCGUGUUUUCCUGGUGCAGCCUUGCAGGGAAGUGUUAAGCGCAGAACUCUGACCUUGGAUGAGGUGGGUUGGGAUGCAAGCUCUGCUAGUCCCCACGAGCACCGGCCUCUGUGCUUCUCUUCAGGUUCAGAGGAGGCAGGAGGCUGAGAGCUGGGCCUGGGUCAGAGUGAGCACCAGGGGACUGUAGGCCAGUAGUGGUACUACUUUCAUAAUAAAAGCACACAGGAAAAGGAAAUCUUUUUAAAAAGAAGAAACUAAAAAGCAGAAAUCCAUCACUGUCCUAUGAUUCAAAUAUCUCACUGUUUGUAGCUGACUCCCCAGUUGGUUGAGCUGGUCCUGUUUUACUGUUAGUUUCCACUCUCUCCCCAAGGGAGGCAGAAUUAAAGUUGUUUUUGUUUUGUUUUUUUGAGCUCCUUAGGAGGUGUAUGCCCUGAAAAUACAAGAAGUGCUUCAUAUUAAUUACUAGAAUUAUUUUCGUUGCUACAGAAAGACUUUACAAGGAAAGAGACUCUUUGAGGUCGAAUCUUCCUCUCCUCCUACUUUGCUCUGAGCUCAAGUAAAACACAACAGUUGCUCACUUGAAAUACCAUCUCCCCUAACCUGUGUUUGGACUUGUACCGUUGUGCUCAGCUCCUGGCCCUUGUUUUUGCUUUCUCUAGCAAUUUCCUGGCCAGAGCAGGAACUAGAGCAGAGUCUGGGAGAAGUGACCAUGCCAGGACGGUUUUCCCACCUGUGCUUCCCUGCACGACUGAAAGGAGGGGUGUGUCCGACCCUCGCUGCAGUCCGUGUGCCGCAAAGCAGAAUCCAGCUCCGACCCACCACGAAGGUUGUUAAUGCGCUAUUAAUGGUGUUGAAAUAUGAUGUUUUGGUUACAUGUACAAGCUGAGUUUGAAUAUGGAUGAAGUGUGAGCUUUCCACACGUGGUCACAGAGCAGCCAUCAUCCUCCGUGGGCAGCACCUGUCUUUGCUGUCCUGUGUGUGGUUAAGGCCCAAGGAAGAGUGGUGUGAUUGCAGCUGACUUACUUGAUCUUACUCUGUUGAGGACGGACUUCUCGUGAGGUCGGCUCAUGUAGUCGCUCCUGUAAUCGGCUUUUUGUUUAUGUUCUCAGUGCUGUUCGGCAAAUGCUGCAGGGACAUAGAGCACUGGCACGUAGCUGUCAGGAUUUGCCAUCUGGGAGGUGAUGUCCCGCCGAGCGCCCUGCUCCCUCCUGUCCCAGGCCUCUGUCACCUCCCAGAAGCUCCACACCCGCCCCUCGGUUUUCACUUCUCAGUCUCUGUAGCUGCCACCCCGCCUGUGCACAGAGCAGACAGACCCCCAGAAGUGAGCUCACUCGGGUUCUGGCCCGAGUCAACACUUACCUGCACCUGCCUUGUUUUCCUGGCCUCCUGUUCCAGUGGGAAGGAUCCUUUCCCCCAUCUGAGACCCUGGACCCCAUCCCCUCUCACCUCCUCAGAGACUUUCUUUCUCUGCCCAUUACCUGCCAUUCGCCAUUGACUCUCUCUUGCGAGCAUGUAAACCUACUCAAGUCUUACAAGUUAAAAACAAAACCGGGAGUUCCUGUUGUAGCUCAGUGGUAACAAAUGCAACUAGUAUCCAUGAGGACACGUGUUCGAUCUCUGGCCUCACGCAGUGGGUUAAGGAUCUGGCGUUGCCAUGAGCUAUAGUGUAGCACAGAUGUGGCUCAGAUCUGGCCUUGCUGCAGCUGUGGUGUAGGCCGGCAGCUGCAGCUCUGAUUCAGCCCCUCGCCUGGGAACUUCCAUGUGUCACAGGCCUGGCCCUGAGAAGCCAAAAAAAAAAAUAAAAUAAAAAUAAAAACAAAACUGGCUUUCAAUCUCGCCUUCCCUUUCUGUUAUUGCUCCAUUUACUUCUCCUGCCAGGGCCAGACUUCUUGGAAGAAUUGUGUGAAUUUUCUACCUCCAUUUCCUCACCCCCGCUCCUUCUCAGGCUGCUCCAGUCUGGCUUUUGCUCCUGUGACCAAGCCGAUAGUGCUCUGGCCAGAGCUGGUAGUUGCCUUGCCAUCCUUCUAUUGCCGUGUUCGUUAGAUAGAUUUGGAUUCGUAUCUCCUGUGACCUGUCAGCGGUGAUAAUGUUUGAUGUCCUCUCCUCUCUGGCUUCCAAGACCCCACCCUGCCCCUCUGGCUUUUUCUCCUCCUUGCCCUUUGCAGGUUCCUUCUCUCCAUCUCUAAGCUUCAUGCUUUGUAGUCAGAGGCCAACUAGACAUUCUCACUUUGCUAUCUUGCUAGUGUCUCAGAGCCAACAGAUUCCACACUGAUCCAAGUUACCCAAGCUUGAAACUUGUGACUUACUGAGCCUUCUCUCUCCUCAUCUUCCAAAUCCAGAAAAAAAAAAAAAAAUCUGGUCAAAAGUCCACAUAUGGACCAUUCUGAAACCCAUCUACUCUGUCUCCAGUGAGUCCUUCUUGGUUACCAUCACCUUUACCUAAAUUAUGGUAUUUUAGCCUCCCUCUCCUUGCUCUUGGUGUCCCUCCCCCUGCCAUUCUCCUGAUGCAUCCAGAGUGAUGCUUCUAAGAGCAUCCUUAUCUGCCAUCCUCUGCUUACACUCUUACCCAUUUUCAUGAUAUCCUGUACUCAACCUGAUUGGGCCCCUGUAGAGUAUGUGUUCUGACUCUACCCAUAAAUAAGUCGUCGAACACUAGAAUUCACGGGGAGAUGCAGAAGAGGGUUAUUUCCUACUCCGCAAAGCAGGACGUAAUGAAAAUCCCAACUGGGUAUCACUCUCUUCCACCUGCAAGGUUUCUAUCAUGGGCCUCAUACCCCUGCCAGCCCUCCCAGCCUUCCCCCUCUCACCUGUUCAUGUCUCCCAACACUAGCUACUCCCACCUUUGGUUUUGAUGGAGGGACGAUGGCAUCCUCUGUACCAUUCAGUGCCCAACCCAGUGCCUAGUAUAUAGUAUACUGUAUGUACUUUACAUUCAGCAAAUAUUCUUGAAUGGAAUUCAUCAAUCAAAUGACUUGUAUAAAGACUAUUUCAAUUAUGCUAUGCUUCUGACCUCUAAUAAGCUGCCUUUAAAAUAUAAAAUGUACCUAUUACGGAGUUUCCGUCGUGGCGCAGCAGAAACAAAUCCAACUAGGAACCAUGAGGUUGCUGGUUCAAUCCCUGGCCUUGCUCGGUGGGUUAAAGAUCCGGUGUUGCCGUGAGCUGUGGUGUAGGUCACAGACAUGGCUCGGAUCUAGCUGCUGUGGCUGUGACAGCUGUAGCUCCAGUUAGACCCCUAGCCUGGGAAUCUCCAUAUGCCGCAGGAGCGGCCC